GACGAACGCUGGCGGCGUGCUUAACACAUGCAAGUCGAACGGUAAGGCCCUUCGGGGUACACGAGUGGCGAACGGGUGAGUAACACGUGGGUGAUCUGCCCUGCACUUCGGGAUAAGCCUGGGAAACUGGGUCUAAUACCGGAUAGGACUCCGGACUGCAUGGUCUGGGGUGGCAAGCUUUUGCGGUGUGGGAUGGGCCCGCGGCCUAUCAGCUUGUUGGUGGGGUGGUGGCCUACCAAGGCGACGACGGGUAGCCGGCCUGAGAGGGUGACCGGCCACACUGGGACUGAGAUACGGCCCAGACUCCUACGGGAGGCAGCAGUGGGGAAUAUUGCACAAUGGGCGCAAGCCUGAUGCAGCGACGCCGCGUGAGGGAUGACGGCCUUCGGGUUGUAAACCUCUUUCAGCACAGACGAAGCGCAAGUGACGGUAUGUGCAGAAGAAGGACCGGCCAACUACGUGCCAGCAGCCGCGGUAA
rnacentral:rRNA from 1 species